AAUGAACGCUGGCGGCAUGCCUAACACAUGCAAGUCGAACGAAGGCUUCGGCCUUAGUGGCGCACGGGUGCGUAACGCGUGGGAAUCUGCCCUUGGGUUCGGAAUAACUCGCCGAAAGGCGUGCUAAUACCGAAUGAUGACGUAAGUCCAAAGAUUUAUCGCCCAGGGAUGAGCCCGCGUAGGAUUAGCUUGUUGGUGAGGUAAAAGCUCACCAAGGCGACGAUCCUUAGCUGGUCUGAGAGGAUGAUCAGCCACACUGGGACUGAGACACGGCCCAGACUCCUACGGGAGGCAGCAGUGGGGAAUAUUGGACAAUGGGCGAAAGCCUGAUCCAGCAAUGCCGCGUGAGUGAUGAAGGCCUUAGGGUUGUAAAGCUCUUUUACCCGGGAUGAUAAUGACAGUACCGGG
rnacentral:rRNA from 1 species